rnacentral:rRNA from 1 species
GACGUAGGGCGCGAGCGUUGUCCGGAUUUAUUGGGCGUAAAGAGCUCGUAGGCGGCUUGUCGCGUCGUCCGUGAAAACCUGCGGCUCAACUGCAGGCUGGCGGUCGAUACGGGCAGGCUGGAGUUCGGUAGGGGAGACUGGAAUUCCUGGUGUAGCGGUGAAAUGCGCAGAUAUCAGGAGGAACACCGGUGGCGAAGGCGGGUCUCUGGGCCACUACUGACGCUGAGAAGCGAAAGCAUGGGGAGCGAACAGG